CCUCAUGAGUUGCGUCCUGCUGUAAAUAUGGACAAACAAUGAAGUUGAUGAAAUUUAGGUGAGCGCUAUGUGAGUCAUAGGUGCUCAUAAAGGAUCAUCACACAUUU
rfam:Zea mays cultivar B73 chromosome 3, whole genome shotgun sequence.